CACACCGCCCGUCACACCAUGGAAGUCGGUUCCGCCUUAAGCUGCAUCGCUAACCGCAAGGGGGCAUGCAACCACGGCAGGGUCGGUGACUGGGGUG
rnacentral:rRNA from 1 species